UAUAAACAGGAUCUGAAGAACAUGGUCAGAAGUGGAUGGAUUUUCGUACACCCUGUUAAAUGAGAGCUAGUGAUCUGAUUAUGGACAAAAACAUUUCCUAAAGCAUAGAUAUGUUUUGCUUUGAACAGAAAAGCUGUGAGGAAAAAACUAGAGACACUCGUGAAGGAGAAGAACAUUAGCCUUCCUUUGGUGAAAAGGGUACUGUAGGUGCACUUUAAUGCUCAUAACUUCAUGCAGCACUAUGUUCACAUAAAUAAACCUCUGCUCCUGUUGGCUUAAAAAAAGAAAAGAAAACACUUACAUGCUUACAUGGGUAAGAACACAGACUCAUCCAAAGCAUGAGUCUGGCGCAUCUAUUGGUUGGAAGUGUGUGUGUUGGAGAAGUGUUUGACUUCUUUUUGAGCACAUUCCUUUUGACUUUUUUUUCCCGGGAGCUUUGGCAGGUACCACAACUUUAAUGCAAAGCCAUAAUGCCAUUUAUUUGUUUUGUGGAUGACAGAAUGGUGACAUUUGUCCACAGAUCAUUGUGCUGUACUGUACAUGUCAAACAGGAACACUGUUGCAUUAAUGGCUGACCUGUUCUGUUGUAGAGGGAAUAACAUCCUCCUGUUUUCAGAUUCAGCAAUCCACCUGCUCAGUAAUGCAUGUUUUUUGAAGAGGUAGUUUAUCAUAAAAUUAAAAUUCUGUUAUAAUUUUUAUAACUUUUAUGGAGUCUGUUGUCAUUUUGAAGCUUGCCAGUCCCUGGUCAUCAUUCACUUCCAUAUGCAAAAAGAGCACCAUGAACAUGUUGCUAAACAUCUACAUCUUUUGUUGAAGAAUAAAGUUAAACAGGUUUGGAAUGACAUGAGGUUGAAUAAAUGAUAUAAUAAUAUAAUUUUAAGUGUGAAAUAUCUAUUCCUUUAAUGUAAAAUACACCAUACUCUCAGACUUUUUGAAGAUGUUUUCGUCUUGAAUGACUGUUUCUUUCUUUGCUUGUAGAAUAGAUGCCGUGUGAGAGGAGUCAGGCAGUGAGUUGCUUGAGGUCAUGGAUUUAACGUCAGACUGAUUCUUUUAUUUUUUUUCAAUCUGUCUGUAAAAUUAGUAUUACAAGAUAAUGUGCGUAUUUGCUUUCAAUGUGAACAAGGUCCUCACAGUGCAUCACUUUAAUACGUCAACUGGCGGAAAAACUGGAACAUUUGUUUUCUAAAGGACAUAAUUUCAAUCAGAGUGAGAAGUAGUGAAAACCUUGAAGCAACUGAGUUUCUAAGAGAGAGCCCACUUCUGCUCAACAAGUUACGCUGCCAUGGAAACAGCUGCCGCUUUGGAUGGUGGACUGGUGCUGGUUUCAAUUCUUUUAGUGGAGGUGUUGUGUUCCCAACAUUCCUUUGACUGCAGGAGAGAUUCACUGAGUGUGGCACAUCUGAACAUGGUGCUGAGCUAUCAUUAGCUCCAGUUUGUGCAAGGGACAUACUGUUCAUCUGUACUUACUGCUAAAUAUUUGUUCUAAUUUGAGCCUGAGAUGAUUUAUGUCACGCUAUUAAUAAAUGAAUGAA